UGGCGGACGGGUGAGUAAUGUCUGGGAAACUGCCCGAUGGAGGGGGAUAACUACUGGAACGGUAGCUAAUACCGCAUAACGUCGCAAGACCAAAGAGGGGGACCUUAGGGCCUCUUGCCAUCGGAUGUGCCCAGAUGGGAUUAGCUAGUAGGUGGGGUAAUGGCUCACCUAGGCGACGAUCCCUAGCUGGUCUGAGAGGAUGACCAGCCACACUGGAACUGAGACACGGUCCAG
rnacentral:rRNA from 1 species